GGAGAGAUGGCUGAGCGGUUGAAAGCACUAGUCUUGAAAACUAGCAAGGAUGCAAGUCCUUCCAGAGUUCGAAUCUCUGUCUCUCCGCCA
rnacentral:tRNA from 1 species